rnacentral:rRNA from 1 species
GACGAACGCUGGCGGCGUGCUUAACACAUGCAAGUCGAACGGAAAGGCCCUGCUUUUGUGGGGUGCUCGAGUGGCGAACGGGUGAGUAACACGUGAGUAACCUGCCCUUGACUUUGGGAUAACUUCAGGAAACUGGGGCUAAUACCGGAUAGGAGCUCCUGCUGCAUGGUGGGGGUUGGAAAGUUUCGGCGGUUGGGGAUGGACUCGCGGCUUAUCAGCUUGUUGGUGGGGUAGUGGCUUACCAAGGCUUUGACGGGUAGCCGGCCUGAGAGGGUGACCGGCCACAUUGGGACUGAGAUACGGCCCAGACUCCUACGGGAGGCAGAAGUGGGGAAUAGUGCACAAUGGGCGGAAGCCUGAUGCAGCACCGCCGCGUGCGGGAUGACGGCCUUCGGGUUGUAAACCGCUUUCGCCUGUGACGAAGCGUGAGUGACGGUAAUGGGUAAAGAAGCACCGGCUAACUACGUG